GAUUUUCUUCCCCUUAUGUGUUACUGUUUAUUCAAGAAGAUGGUGUUAUUUUGGUAAAUGCUGAAUUCCAGUGUAUUACAACACUUCAACUGGAGAUGACCUUCGCGGCACAGUUAGACAGAAUUACACCUCAGUUGAUGACAGUUUUCCAGAAGAAGGGCGGUGUUUCUGGGCAGAAACUUGCCCACCACUUGCAGAUCAUGCAAGAGGCUGAAAGUGAUGUUAAAGUGAAAAGGGAAGCAGUUCUCAGGGCACUUUGCCUCUACCUUGGUGAAGAGGACGGAAGCCUUAUUCGGGAGUUCUUUGACAUUGAAGGAGAUGAUAUCUAGAGAGACCUGAAGAAGCACACCAUGGGCAUUUAUGUCAUCAACAGGGAGGAUGGACAAAAUGGACAUUAUGAUGACAUUGGAAUAUUUGUUGAAGGGGAGAUAGUCAUGGACAACAUUGGAUCUCUGGCCCAAGCUUGUGCAUUGAUGCUUGGAGUAAUCUAUGCACUAAACCUAGCCUUCCCCAAGGAAUUGAAGGACUAUUAUGAAUUCAUUUAGCAAGUGUUGAUGGGAUUCGAUGGUGAAAAGCUCUCCCCCAAAGUCUUUGGGCUGAAGAGCAAAAUUGCUACUGGAUAGGAAGAUUUCUAAAAUAACACAUCAAGAGAAUGCUGUUAUGUAAAUUACCAAUGACUGGUGCUCUUGUGAAUAGGAGUGAAACUCUUGUACAACCAUCAUUUGUUCUGUGUUAUGUUUCGAUUGAACAUUUUAACUUUCAAUAAUGAAUGUUUCACGUGUGGUACAUUUGAGUAGCUUGAAGAGCAACUUUGUAAUUAUUCAGUUAUAGCUGCUGCCCUGCGUAUAAUCAGUGUUAACUCAACCGGAUAAAAAAAACAAAAAAAACCAUUCAUGAUUACCACACUGCAGCACACUGGUAACACUUUAAAGACUAUUAAUUGUUUUGAAGCGAGUAUGUUAGGUCAGAAAAUAUGUAAAACAUUCAGAAUCUUCAAGGAAGGACUAGAAUGGAAAGACAGUGGUCAAUAAGCAGUAAGGAAAACACAAGUUUAAUUUUAAGUCUAAUUACCUUAUUAAAAUGCAAUUUCUAAAUAUGGAUCGCAGAACAGCAAGUCUGAAACUGGUUAGUUUGUGGAUGCAUCAGUUUCUAAUUGUGAUACAUUAUACUGCUGGUAGUGUUUUAUUCUUUUAUGUAAGGAGUUUGUUUGUUUUUUUCUUUUUUAGAGGAAGAGAAACAUUGGUUAACAUUUCUCUUGUCUGUUGUUUCUGUUUUGUUUGAAUACAGCUUUUUAAAGCUACUAGUUCAUAGGCAAAAGUUUUGUAAUUUGUAUUAUACAAAUUGCAGCAAUUUCCC
ensembl:lncRNA